ensembl:miRNA
GCUUGCCUGGGGUGAGUCAGGGCUCUUCUGUCAUCUGGGCCCCCUCUGGGCUCUGGGAGGCCGCCACUGGAGCCCUGCCUCUUCCUGGCAG